rnacentral:lncRNA from 1 species
UACAAUUAGGAGCUAAACAAAGUAAUUUGUUUAAGUAAGAAAACUAUACACAUAACUAUUUCCUAAUGAAAAGAUUCGUUAUACAUAUUUACAAUAGUUGUCUAAUACAUUAUUCUCGUUGAUAAACAUGUCAAGAAGGUCCUAGCCCUCUAACCAACAUAGGAGUUGAAAUAGACCAAUCCUUAACCAUACCUCCAAACAUAUCACACAGGUGUAGAGUCAAGAGCCGACAAAGGAAAAGAUAUUCAAUUAUAUGUUGAGAUGAAAUUGGUGUUGCACUUCAAAAAGCUGAGCUUCAGGGUUACGAAAUCUUGAUAUCGACCUUGUUUAGCCCGAAGUCUUAGAACUCACCUUAAAAGACAUAUUUAAAAUGCUUGUGUGAUUAAUUAGUUUUCCUCCAUACAUUGAACUCAUAUGUUCUACAAUGUGCUGCAAUUGCAUACGAAUCCUAACCAUAUCUUAUUCCCAAGCCUCCCUACCAUAUUCAUUCGAGGAAGUUACAAGAACACGGUACUCGACCAUCAAAUCAUUAACCAUUUUAAGGAAAUUGUCAAUAAAUUCAGCAAAUGCUUAGCUAGUAGUAGAGAACUGAAAUAGACAAUUUUGAGAUUAAUGCUAUUGCACAAGAUUAAAGACGAGAAAUUAAGGGAAUUCUUUGGCAGUUCAAUGCAAAAGCAUUACACAACCCAAAUUUCUAGAACUAUUCAACAACAGGUGCACCAGUGAAAGAAGUCGUCUCCCCUUUAAAAUGUCUUUAUCUAAGGCAAUAUGCUCAAAAAGUUGCUGUUGCCCUACUAAUAAAGUGAUUUCCUUAUGAGAAGGUAAAUUACCUUAUGUCAAGAUGCUCUGCAAAGAACUAACAAGUUGCACAACAAUGUUGUAGUGAUCAAGGCAAAUGAUUAGAAAUUGCAAAAUUAUGUGAAUCAUUAUAGACAAUGGUGUGCAACACAUAUACAAACAAUGGACGCAUAGAAAUAAUUAGCCUUCCAAAGGACAUACUAAAAAUUAUCAAGUAUUCCUUGCGAGGAUUCUUGAGAGGAUAAAAAUUAUAAUUGCAUUAACCAUCACCCUCAAGACUCAACAAGUAGAUUACUACAAUAGGUAAUGUGGAAUUACAGACUUAAGAGCCCUAAUUUUUAGGUGAUCUUGGUUAAGGCCUUGUUUAGCUAAGUUUUGUUUUUGUAUACUAAUUAUUAGAAAUUGAGUUACCCAUGUGAUCAAUUAUUAGCAUCUAGGAGAAUCAAAGACAAAUUAGUUGUCUAUUCUUCUCCAAUAAAAUGAAGUACCAACCUAUUUUGUUUUAAGAUUAUCUGUCGAAAAGUUAGGAGAUUUGGAGAUUUAUUUAUUUGAAUUGUUUUGAAUAAAUCUGAAAUUGUUAUAUUCAGAUAUUUAGUUGUAUUUUUGGUUUACUGUUUUAUUAGAUUCUAUCCGUUAGGAGAGUCCUAUAGUCUAGGGUGAUUUAGAUUGUAUAGGACUCAAAUACUAUUUGUACCUAUUCAUAUGAGCAGAUUAAUGAUAUACGAGAAAUAAGUUUUUGAGACGUUUUCUUCUCAAAAACUUACAUUAUCGCCAAACAUUAAGGGUUUUUCUUCGUUCUUCUUGAUGUUAAGGAAGUUUUCCAACAUGACAAGUUGGAGGAAG